ensembl:lncRNA
AUGGAGAUUCUCCCAAUGAUUCCUCUUCCACAUUUUCAUUCACCUCAAGUGUUUUAACAGUGUGGUUCAUCAUCAGACAGAAGAGGAGCCGAUAGUCUGACAACAUAAUCUACUGCUGUGGUGUGUGUUGGGGUCUAUUCAUUACGACGGCCAUUAAAAAGUCUUCAAUAAAAGACACAGUGCAGGACAAGUCACAACCCUAGGACAUGGGGUUCAUCACUAGGGGUCAACCCUAGACCAUGGACUUCAUCACUAGGGGUCAACCCUAGGCCAUGGGGUUCAUCACUAGGGGUCAACCCUAGGACAUGGGCUUCAUCACUAGGGGUCAACCCUAGGACAUGGGGUUCAUCACUAGGGGUCAAGCCUAGACCAUGGGGUUCAUCACUAGGGGUCAACCCUAGGACAUGGGGUUCAUCACUAGGGGUCAACCCUAGGUCAUGGGGUUCAUCACUAGUCACUAGGGGUCAACCCUAGGUCAUGGACUUCAUCACUAGUCACUAGGGAUCAACCUUAGGACAUGGACUUCAUCACUAGUCACUAGGGGUCAACCCUAGGACAUGGGGUUCAUCACUAGGGGUCAACCCUAGGACAUGGACUUCAUCACUAGGGGUCAACCCUAGGUCAUGGACUUCAUCACUAGGGGUCAACCCUAGGUCAUAUGGACUUCAUCACUAGUCACUAAGUGUCCUCUAAAGUUUAGUCAUUGUGAUUUUGUCCAAAGUAGAGCUUUUCUCAUGUUCUCCUGUUAUGAGGUACUGUUGAUGUGUAACUGUUGUACUGCAAUGAGAUGAUCAAUACAAGAUCAAUACAUAUUGAUACCUCAGAUGUCUCGAAUCCCAUAUUAAAGAUCAAUACAUGUUGAUACCUCAGAUGUCUCAAA